rnacentral:rRNA from 1 species
GAAUCUGGCUUCUGGUUCGGGACAACCGCGGGAAACUGCUGCUAAUACCGGAUGUGCCGAAAGGUAAAAGAUUAAUUGCCUGGAGAUGAGCUCGCGUCUGAUUAGCUAGUUGGUAGGGUAAAGGCCUACCAAGGCGUCGAUCAGUAGCUGGUCUGAGAGGACGAUCAGCCACACUGGGACUGAGACACGGCCCAGACUCCUACGGGAGGCAGCAGUGGGGAAUUUUCCGCAAUGGGCGAAAGCCUGACGGAGCAAUACCGCGUGAGGGAGGAAGGCUCUUGGGUUGUAAACCUCUUUUCUCAGGGAAGAACAAAAUGACGGUACCUGAGGAAUCAGCCUCGGCUAACUCCGUGCCAGCAGCCGCGGUAAUACGGAGGAUGCAAGCGUUAUCCGGAAUGAUUGGGCGUAAAGCGUCCGCAGGUGGCAAUUCAAGUCUGCUGUCAAAGACCGGGGCUUAACCCUGGAAAGGCCGUGGAAACUGAACAGCUAGAGUGCGGUAGGGGCAGAGGGAAUUCCUGGUGUAGCGGUGAAAUGCGUAGAGCUCAGGAAGAACAUCGGUGGCGAAGGCGCUCUGCUGGACCACAACUGACACUCAGGGACGAAAGCUAGGGGAGCG